GGGCGCAUGGUCUAGUGGUAUGAUUUUCCCUUAGCAUGGGAGAGGUCCAGGGUUCAAUUCCCUGUGCGUCCA